UUGUAUGCCGGAAGAGAUAAAUCUGGGACUGAGUACAAGCAAAACAAGACCAAAGGAAGCUACCUGAGCAGUCACUGGAGCCCUAAUGAUCGCAGCCAUUUCAGGAGAUGCCAUCAAUUACAGUGAGGAGCUCAUUCAGAAGUGAAAGAUGAGUUCCAUUCUCUGUUACUUAGAGGUAUAGAGAAGAAAACUGAGGUCCUGAAGUUUUAUGGCCCCUACAUUUUGAGAACCCAGCUGCAUCUGAGAACCAAACUUCUUGGAAAUUCUAAAGGGCAUGCCAUUGGCAGCCUAGCUACUUUAACAGAGCAUUUCAAUCAGCUUUUCUCCACGGUUUGGCCAAAUAAUUAGUAUGUUUCCUGGCAACACACUGAGAAAGAAAACUGGUAUAGAAUCUUCCUAACAAUGGACCAAGAUGAAAGAAGAAGCCAAUCAUAUUCAUUUCUCAACCUUCAGUCUUCUUGCAUAUGGGGGAAAGAUAAAUAGGGGAUCUUGGACCCAUAUCAAUGAAUUAAUGGUGUGAAAGUUGUCACUUGGAGCUGCCUAAAGUGAUCCUAGACAAGAUAAAUGAAAAUCUUUUACUGCACCCAGACAAUGUGGAACACAUUUUACCACCCUUACCCAGCACUCUACUGAAUAAAACUACUUUUUACAU